rnacentral:rRNA from 1 species
UACGUAGGGUGCGAGCGUUGUCCGGAAUUAUUGGGCGUAAAGGGCUCGUAGGCGGUUUGUCGCGUCGGGAGUGAAAACUCAGGGCUUAACCCUGAGCCUGCUUCCGAUACGGGCAGACUAGAGGUAUGCAGGGGAGAACGGAAUUCCUGGUGUAGCGGUGAAAUGCGCAGAUAUCAGGAGGAACACCGGUGGCGAAGGCGACUACCUGGCCUGUUUCUUGACGCUGAGGCGCGAAAGCUAGGGGAGCAAACGGG